rnacentral:rRNA from 1 species
CAAUAGCGUAUAUUUAAGUUGUUGCAGUUAAAAAGCUCGUAGUCGGAUUUUGGCUGAGAACGAUCGGUCCGCCGUUAGGUGUGCACUGAUUGGUCUCAGCUUCCUGGUGAGGAGGUGUGCUUCACGGCCACUUAGUCACCGUGGUUACUUUGAAAAAAUUAGAGUGUUCAAAGCGGGCUUACGCUUGAAUAUAUUAGCAUGGAAUAACACCAUAGGACUCCUGUCCUAUUUCGUUGGUCUCGGGACGGGAGUAAUGAUUAAGAGGAACAGUUGGGGGCAUUCGUAUUUCAUUGUCAGAGGUGAAAUUCUUGGAUUUAUGAAAGACGAACUUCUGCGAAAGCAUUUGCCAAGGAUGUUUUCGUUGA